AUGGCAUCUCUUCGGUGCUACAGGAUCGACUCUGUGUUUUACUGUUUGGUCUGUAAGAAAAUUGGUAUGAAUUCCAGAUCCAACAAGGAAAGGCUUCUGAUCUUCAGAAUGAGUGAGCGAAGGAAUAUGAAAGUUGAAUUACAGGUUUAUAAAAAGGAAGCAUAUGACAUAUUCGACCCAGCAGUGAAGAUUCUCCACAGGUCUCCCGCGGGCGUGGGCGGGUGGGAACCGGCGGAGUGUCCGGCCUCCAUCUUUGGCACCGAGAAAGACAAAGUCAGCUGUUCAUUUUACUUCAAAGUUGGAGCAUGUCGUCAUGGAGACAGGUGCUCUCGGUUGCACAGUAAACCGACGUUUAGCCAGACCAUUGCCCUCUUGAACAUUUCCCGUAACCCUCAAAACUCUUCCCAGUCGGCCGACGGCUUGCGCUGUGCCGUGAGCGGUGUUGAGAUGCAGCAACACUGUGAUGAAUGCUUUGAGGAGAUUUGUACAGAAAUGGAGGAGAAGUAUGGGGAAGCUGAGGAGACGAACGUCUGUGACAAGCUGGGAGGGAGACCACGUGGUGGGGAACGUGCACGGCAAGUUUGGCCGUGAGGCAGAUGCGGAAAAGGCUGUGACUGACUUGAACAACCGUUGGUUUAACGGACAGCCGAGCCACGCCGAGCCCUCCCCUGAGACGGACUUCAGAGAGGCCUGCCGCCGUCAGGAUGAGACCGGAGAAUGCUCCCGGGGCGGCUCCUGCGGCUUCGUGUAUUUGAAGCCCAUUUCCGGAGAGCCGCGGCGGGAGCUGUACGGGCGGCGUCGCAAGAAGCGUAGAUCAAGAUGCCGAUCCCGGGAGCGUCGUUCUGGGUCUAGAGACCGUGGUCGUGGCGGUGGCGGUGGCCCAGGCCGCGGCGGCGGGAGCGUGACAGGAGGCGGUCGAGAGGUCGUGAAGGAUCUGGGCGAUUCUGAGCCAUCC